rnacentral:rRNA from 1 species
AUGACUUUCAACGAUGGAUGUCUUGGCUCUCGCAACGAUGAAGAACGCAGCGAAAUGCGAUACGUAAUGCGAAUUGCAGACUCAGUGAAUCAUCAAAUCUUUGAACGCACAUUGCACUUUCGGACGUUGUUCGGGAGUAUUCCUGCAUGAGUGUUUG